UACAGAGGUCCCGAGCGUUGUUCGGAUUCACUGGGCGUAAAGGGUGCGUAGGUGGUGAGGUAAGUCGGAUGUGAAAGCUCCAAGCUCAACUUGGAAAUGGCAUUGGAAACUACCUUGCUAGAGGGUUUGAGGGGGGGACUGGAAUACUUGGUGUAGCAGUGAAAUGCGUAGAUAUCAAGUGGAACACCAGUGGCGAAGGCGAGUCCCUGGAAAACUCCUGACACUGAGGCACGAAAGCUAGGGGAGCAAACAGG
rnacentral:rRNA from 1 species